rnacentral:rRNA from 1 species
UGGGGAAUAUUGGACAUCGGGCGACGAAGCCUGAUCCAGCCAUGCCGCGUGAGUGACGAAGGCCUUAGGGUUGUAAAGCUCUUUUGGCGGGGACGAUAAUGACGGUACCCGCAGAAUAAGCCCCGGCUACUUCGUGC